CAUUAUGAAGCUAUUUGCAAGCGUUAACCUUUUAAGUUAAAGACUGAGAGAUGAAAUUCUCUCCAUAAUGA
rnacentral:tRNA from 1 species